GAUGAACGCUGGCGGCGUGCCUAAUACAUGCAAGUCGAGCGAACAGAUAAGGAGCUUGCUCCUUUGACGUUAGCGGCGGACGGGUGAGUAACACGUGGGUAACCUACCUAUAAGACUGGGAUAACUUCGGGAAACCGGAGCUAAUACCGGAUAACAUUUGGAACCGCAUGGUUCUAAAGUGAAAGAUGGUUUUGCUAUCACUUAUAGAUGGACCCGCGCCGUAUUAGCUAGUUGGUAAGGUAACGGCUUACCAAGGCGACGAUACGUAGCCGACCUGAGAGGGUGAUCGGCCACACUGGAACUGAGACACGGUCCAGACUCCUGCGGGAGGCAGCAGUAGGGAAUCUUCCGCAAUGGGCGAAAGCCUGACGGAGCAACGCCGCGUGAGUGAUGAAGGGUUUCGGCUCGUAAAACUCUGUUAUUAGGGAAGAACAAACGUGUAAGUAACUGUGCACGUCUUGACGGUGCCUAAUCAGAAAGCCACGGCUAACUACGUG
rnacentral:rRNA from 1 species